CCCCUAGACGUUCUGGGCUGCACGCGCGCUACAAUAAUACGCACAGCGAGUAUCACCGAGCUCGAAAGGGCAAGGUAAACAAUAGAAAAGGUGCUGUAAUGGUUAUAGAUCCUUGUAAUUAUUGAUCUUCAACGAGGAAUUCCUAGUAAGUAUGUGUCAUCAUCACGCACUGAUUACGUCCCUGCCCUUUGUACACACCGCCCGUCGCUCCUACCGAUUGGGUGAGCCGAUGAAACUCUCGGAUGUAGGCUAUUCAUAGCCCGCAGAAGAGAUUUGAAUCGUAGCGCUUAGAGGAAGGAGAAGUCGUAACA
rnacentral:rRNA from 1 species